rnacentral:rRNA from 1 species
UAAUACGUAGGGUGCGAGCGUUAAUCGGAAUUACUGGGCGUAAAGCGUGCGCAGGCGGUUGUGUAAGACAGGUGUGAAAUCCCCGGGCUUAACCUGGGAACUGCGCUUGUGACUGCACAGCUAGAGUAUGGCAGAGGGGGGUGGAAUUCCACGUGUAGCAGUGAAAUGCGUAGAGAUGUGGAGGAACACCGAUGGCGAAGGCAGCCCCCUGGGCCAAUACUGACGCUCAUGCACGAAAGCGUGGGGAGCAAACAGGAUUAGAUACCCUGGUAGUCCACGCCCUAAACGAUGUCGACUAGGUGUUCGGUGAGGAGACUCAUUGAGUACCGCAGCUAACGCGUGAAGUCGACCGCCUGGGGAGUACGGUCGCAAGAUUAAAACUUAAAUGAAUUGACGG